GUGGUGGUGUAGUGGUAGAGCACGCGUCCCUGGCAAAUGACAUGCGGGUUCGAUUCCCGCCCGAGGCC